GUGCUCACUUCGGCAGCACAUACACUAUAAUUGGAAUGAUACGUAGAAGAUUAGCAUGGCCCUUGCACAAGGAUGACAUGCAAAUUCGUGAAGUGUUUCAUAUUUUC
rnacentral:snRNA from 1 species